UUGCUCACUUUGGCAGCACAUAUACUAAAAGCUGGAACCAUACAGAGAAGAUUAGCAUGGCCCCUGAACAAGAGUGGCAUGCAAAUUCAUGAAACAUUCCAUGAAAAA
rfam:Erinaceus europaeus unplaced genomic scaffold scaffold00327, whole genome shotgun sequence